rnacentral:rRNA from 1 species
AUUGAACGCUGGCGGCAGGCCUAACACAUGCAAGUCGAGCGGAUGAAGGGAGCUUGCUCCUGGAUUCAGCGGCGGACGGGUGAGUAAUGCCUAGGAAUCUGCCUGGUAGUGGGGGAUAACGUCCGGAAACGGGCGCUAAUACCGCAUACGUCCUGAGGGAGAAAGUGGGGGAUCUUCGGACCUCACGCUAUCAGAUGAGCCUAGGUCGGAUUAGCUAGUUGGUGGGGUAAAGGCCUACCAAGGCGACGAUCCGUAACUGGUCUGAGAGGAUGAUCAGUCACACUGGAAAUGAGACACGGUCCAGACACCUACGGGAGGCAGCAGUGGGGAAUAUUGGACAAAGGGCGAAAGCCUGAUCCAGCCAUGCCGCGUGUGUGAAGAAGGUCUUCGGAUUGUAAAGCACUUUAAGUUGGGAGGAAGGGCAGUAAGUUAAUACCUUGCUGUUUUGACGUUACCAACAGAAUAAGCACCGGCUAACUUCGUG